CUGAGGUGUGCGCCUUUUUUUUUCUCUCUCUCUCUCACUUUUUAAAUUUUUUUUAUUUUUUUGAGUCUCAAUCGUGUGGACAUCACUGGGAAUGGAGGGAAAUAACUGACUGAAUGAAUGGUCGGUGCUUUUUAAGUUUCAAACUGACAUUCCAGGCGGGUUGUGCCUGAGCCAGCUUCGGGCUUUCAGACCUUCACAGCCUGGUCCUGAGGAGGUAGAGCUCUCAGCUUCUCCCUGGACUCCCAUGGACCAGAAAUAAAACAGAGAUGUGAAUCCCUGGCUUGGGCUUUUACUCACAGAUGGGCAAAGUGAGGAGGAGCAGGAGGGAUAGGAUGUGACUGAGCCGUACAGCCUCCAGCAUCUUGCUCCUAGACGGACUGGAUCCUACAGGGAGAAUCUGGAGCUGCCUUUGGAAUCUUGGACAUGCUUCCUGGACUCUGGAACUUGUCCCCAUCAUGACCUCCCCAACCAGAGAAGCCCGCUGGCCAGGCAGGUCACCGUCGGGGGCUCUGCAUCGCCUGAGAAGUUGGAGGCCAAGAGCAUCAGUUUUAACCAUACUGCACGUACCAAGCCAAGUAUGCAGGAGAGGCCUCCGUAACUAGAAUUGUUAUGAACACCAGAUAUCUGACUUAACUGGCAUUUCUGGAGGCUCCAGUUUGCAGGACUUUGAUCAACAUCGCCUGAGAGGGGGCAUUAUUAGCCCUGUGAAUGAGGGGACCUAAGAGACAGGGACUUCCUGGCCUGGCCGAAUGCAGCAGAAUCCUCCACUGGGUCCUGGGUCCUCCUAGCUGCCAUCGUGGACUGACCCCACAUUCUGGAGGCAUCUCUUAGAUCAGAGCUGUCCACCCACAGUUCAUUCUCAUUCCUGAAUGCCCAUUUGAGUCAGACUCUGGUAUCAGCAGUUAUAAGGAAGACAGAGCUCCCACUGUGUAACUGGAAGCUGCAUCAAGCACAGAGUCUUUGUCAGCCUGCCUUGUGUCCAACAACCAGAAGAAACACUGGGAGCUGAGCAGGGCCAGGCUGUGUUCACUGGCCCGGAGCAAGCGUGCCCAGACCUUCAGCCACACUGCCGUACUCAGGGAGGCUGGGGGACAGCACUGUCAGACUUGAGUUUUUGACAAGAGAAGAACUCUGAGUCCGCCGAGUGUUGGGAGAGGAAGGAAAGCCUCUCUGGAGUGCCCCACAGCCCAUGAAGAAGAGAAUCUGGUUGGUAGCUGUUUUCUCUCAGUGCUACCCUGACCACAAUCUGAACUAUAUCCAAUAACGCUGUUCUAUUAGUUUUGCUUCAUAUGUGCUUCAUUCUGUAUUAAAAAGCAAAGACAUCACUUUACUGAAAAAGGUCCAUAUAGUCAAAACUGUGGUCUUUCCAGUAGUCAUGUAUGGAUGUGAGAGUUGGACCAUAAAGAAGGCUGAGUGCUGGAGAACUGAUGUCUUCAAAAUGUGGUGCUGGAGAAGACUCUUAAGAGUAACUUGGACUGCAAGGAGAUCAAACCAGUCAAUCCUAAGGGAAAUCAACCCUGAAUAUUCAUUGGAAGGACUGAUGCUGAAGCUGAAGCUCCAAUACUUUGGCCACCUGAUGCAAAGAGCCAACUCAUUGGAAAAGACACUGAUGCUGGGAAAGAUUGAGGUCAACAGAGGAUGAGAUGGUUGGAUAGCAUCACCAACUCAAUGGAUGUGAGUUUGAGCAAACUCUGGGAGAUAGUGGAGGACAGGGGAGCCUGGUGCACUGCAGUUCAUGGGGUCACAAACAGCCAGACAUGACUUAGUGACUGAACAACAACAACAGUCUUGUUUGCAGGUUGGACUCUGGGCCCUGAGGUAUGUGAAGUAUUAGCUGGACUGGUGGGGGUGUAGGGGAGGGCCAUGCUGGGCAGGGGAUAUGGGUUUGAGGAAUGAAACUACUCAGCUUCCCACAGUCCUGAAGCUGGCACUGAGGCAGCAGGCAGAUGGGCCCCCAAGGUAAAGCAAUUGGAGAUUCAUUCUCUGUUGACCAGAACUCCAAGACAAAAAUAGCACGGUGAUUAGAGGAGAAGGCUGGACUCUGCACAGACCACAUAUUUCUUGUUACUGAAGUCAGGAGACCUCCCCAACCACACAUGUGCAGAAAAGGCUCCUUGGAGACCAAAGAGAGAGCAACGUAAAGGGAUGGUCUACCUAGGCACCUUUUCAGUAGGCUGUGUCUUGGCUAAGAGCUGUGUGUGCACAUAUGCAAGGAUCCUGGGAUAUACCAAAUAUGGACUGUGGACCAGGUGAAUCAGAAUGACUGGCCAAAGGAAACCCAGAAGAAAUGCCCCAUAAAGGUAAUCCAACCUGCCAUGAGGGCCAACUCAGCAACUCAGGGACUUUCUGAGUCUGCCCAUGUGUCUAUCCACCUAUACUGUACACCUUUUCCUCCUAAUAAAGACUUCACUUGCUUCACUA